rnacentral:rRNA from 1 species
AGGAUAAACGCUGGCGGCGUGCUUCAGGCAUGCAAGUCGAACGAGUACUUCGGUACUAGUGGCGGACGGGUGCGUAACACGUAAGCAACCUGCCCAGAAGUGGGGAAUAACUUGCCGAAAGGCGAGCUAAUUCCGCAUGUGAUGGCCCCUUGUUGGAGGAGUCAUUAAAGGCGUAAGCCGCUUCUGGAGGGGCUUGUGGCCGAUUAGCUUGUUGGUGGGGUAACGGCCUACCAAGGCUGCGAUCGGUAGCUGGUCUGAGAGGACGGUCAGCCACACGGGGACUGAGAUACGGCCCCGACUCCUACGGGAGGCUAGCAGCUAGGAAUCUUGGGAAUGGGCGAAAGCCUGACCCAGCAACGCCGCGUGGGCGAUGAAGGCCUUCGGGUCGUAAAGCCCCUUUGCAGGGGACGAUGAUGACGGUACCUGCGAAUAAGCCACGGCUAACUACGUGCCAGCAGCCGC